UUCUGGAGGAGGGGCAUGUCAGUGGUCCAGACCAGCAGACGGCAAAUAUUUCGUUUUCUGUCGCUGGUCGACGAAACGUUUGAGGUGAGGGAGCAGUCCUUUGAAAAAACUGUUUCGUCGAUCACCAGACUUAACAAAUAUCUUCACCACUUUCCGGACAUGUUUCUUAUGCCAUACAUCUGGUCUGCCCUGAUCUUACCAUGUGCCUGGGCACAAAACAACAUGCCAAGUGUGGUUGUGGAGGCGAGGAACAUUACUGUUCCAGCCGGGUCAGAUGUUCUUCUGCCGUGUCAUAACCAGAGGAUGGUUUGGAGGCAGGAUCGCCUGCGGGACCGUCAGCGUGUCGUGCACUGGGACCUGAUCCGGAACCAACCCGAUUACACUGUGGAGCGCAUUUUAGAUAUGUCCUCAGGGGGAACAGAGCGCUUGUACAACGACUACAACAGGGGUCGAAUUACUAUUUCAAAAGACGCCUUUAGCGAUGGAAAUUUCUCACUAGUUAUUAAUAAUGUGGACAUGAAUGAUAAAGGUAUCUAUACCUGCAACCUACAUCACCACUAUUGCAAGGUCCACCAGUCCGUUCAAAUCCAGCUCAACGUCACUAAAUCACCUCGAAAGGAAAAGCGUGUCUGGGUUGGCAACAAAUCCGUGUUUGUGGUUCUGGUGGGAAAGAGUGUGGUGCUUCCCUGUAUGAACCGCAGACAAUUGUGGACGGACAGUCAGAAGGACGAGGGCCAACAGCAAGUGGUCCACUGGGACUGGCAGGCACCUGGGGUCACCCGUGACCGAGCAGACCGCCUCAUCGACAUGUAUGCCUCUGGAGAGAACCGGCAGUAUGGGCCGCUCUUCCUCCGGAAUAAGAUGAACAUCUCAACUGAUGCCUUCUACAUGGGGGAUUUCUCCCUGAGUGUCCACAACAUUCAGCCCUCUGAUAAAGGCUUGUAUUCCUGCCACCUUCACCAUCACUACUGUGGCUUGCAUGAAAGACGAAUCUUCAGGGUGAUCGUCGGCCCUUCUGUCCAGCCUUCACCUCAAGCGCGCUCCUCUACUGAUGCACCAAAAACUCGUUCUUCUUAUUCUGCCCCACCUGCUGAUGACCCAAAUACACACAUGGUUGAAGUGCCUCGCAUCCUCAAUGUCAUUUUGCCUGAGAAUCAAACUCACCUCUUGCACCAAGUAGGCUACAUCCUGGCAAUCUUCCUACUGCUUCUGUUAAUGCUCAUUGGCAUCAUUAUGACCACGAGACACUGCAGAAAAAAAGGGCCUGAGUUUGAGGUUCGAAGGUCUGAACGGCAAUGGCAUAACUUUACUUGGCAGGGGGAGGAGGACAUCCAUUGAGCCUGAUGCCACAGCACUGCAACCCUACAAUCAGGAAGACUUGCGAAUGGACUACAAGAACAACAUAAUUAAAGAAAAGGCAGCGGCAAACAACUAUCCCUCUCCAAAAGUUAUUGAUCUAAACAGAGAAAUGGAGAGAAUGUCAUGGAAGUGAUUCAUAGUGAGCUGCUGGCCGGUCCAGAGUGUGCUGAAUCAGAAGAGAUUCAAGGACUUUACAUUUACAUUGAGGACAAGAACGGAAGUACUGACUUUCUACAGCAUAAUUACAGCUUACAUGAUGUUAUAAUACUCAAAUGCAACACUGUAGGUCAAUUUAAUUGAAAUCUUUUUAUCAUGAUAGCAGUUUACCGUAAUGGUAAUCUAUUGAAUUUUAAGUUACACAUAUGCAAAAAUGUGAGAGAUCAAAUUGCUGAAUUCAGUUUGGUUCUCUUCUGUGUUAAAUUUCUAAAUUUCUAAGUUGAAUUGCUAAAAUUCUGUGUGGUAGAAACCACUGUAAGUGUCUGGAUCUGAAUGGGAUUUUUUUUAUAAAACUCAGGAAGCAAACAAAUAGCUGUGGCUUCAGGUCUAAAUAGUCAAAGAUGGUACACAAGUGAACUUCAAAGGCAAUUAAAUGUACUAUCUAUACAUUACGUUUUGUUUGAAUUUUGAGUCCUAUUGACCAGGACUUCUUUGGUCCAUUGUCUUUUUAUGGGGUUUGUUUUACAGCAUUAUGUAGAUUGUACAGUUACAGUUUAUUUGCUUUCGCAAUACGAACAAGUCCCAUUUAUCUCUUUUGCAUUAUCAUAUUUUUUCAGACAUUUCCUUGGUCAGUGAUGUUCAUUUACAUAGGUUAAGCAUUCAUGCAGUAGUUUUUAUUUGCUCUGGAGUGUACAUGUAUCUUUAUAGAGGCAAUAUAUGAUCACAUCAGUAUAGAUGACCAAUGUACAAAUAUAAUAAAGUUUAUUCUGAAAUA